UGUUGUAGAGUCAGUAGAGAGGCAGUGCUGCACUGUGGAGGGUCAAUAAGAAGCAUGUAGCUCCACUGGCAAGGUGCCAAUGAUGACAGAAUGCUGCACUGCCAGAGGAUCAGCAAUGAGGGAAAACUGUAUUGUCAGAGUGUCUUCGUCAAGAAAGUGCCACUCUGUCGGAAGGCCAAUAUUAAGGGAGUGCUGCACUGUCACAGGAUCAAUAUUAGGGGUGUGCUGCACUAACAGAGGGUCAGUGUUGAUUGAAUGCUUGACUGUUGCAGAGCCAGGACUGAGGGAAUCCUGCAUCGUUCCGGUGUCAUCAUUGAGGGAGUGCUGCACUGUUAAUGGCCGAUAGUAAGGGAGUGUGACACUGUCAGAGUGUCAUUACCAAAGGUGGGCUACAGUAUCAGAGGGAAAAAAGCAAUGAAAGUGCCGUUCAUGUUUUGCACGGCGAGCUGCUGAAUACUAACCGGUCUCACACCAUUACCAUCACCUUGCCCUUGUGAAGGCAGGUAUGGAUAAGGUUCUCAAAGCUGAUAGAAGAUUGAAACCACUCUCGUCCUGUGACGAUGAACCUGCCCCGGAAGAGAGAGCCCAGAGAAUUGCCAAAGCUGUCCGCAAACAGUCAAUAGAAGUGAAGGAAAAUUGGGAACAACUGAAAAUCCGUGCGAGCAACUGGCAGAAACAGGUGGAAAAGGCGUUGGAGAAACUUCAAGAACUGCAGAAAGUUCUGGAUGAUCUUGAGGCUCAUGUGAUAACAGCUGAGGGGGUCCACACUGAUUGGCAACCUGUGAGUGACCUGCUCAUUGACUCAUUGCAGGAUCACAUUGAUAAAACCACAGGUAAGGACUAUCUGCAAAAUAUGAGAUUGGGUUUUGAAAGACAGCAGCCUUUGUUUUGGAGAGAUAAUGGGAACUGCAGAUGCUGGAGAAUGCGAGAUAACACCGUGUGGAACUGGAUGAAGACAGCAGGCCAAGCAGCAUCUUAGGAGCACAAAAGCUGACGUUUCGGGCCGAGAACCUUCUUCAGAAAAUGGGGAGGGGGUGCGGGUUCUGGAAUAAAUAGGGAGAGAGGGGGAGGCGGAUGGAAGAUGGAUGGAGGAGAAGAUAGGUGGAGAGGAGAGUAUGGGUAGGGAGGCAGGGAGGGGAUAGGUCAGUCUGGGGAGGCCGGACAGGUCAAGGGAGCGGGAUGAAGGGAAAUAGGGGUGCGGCAUGAGGUGGGAGGGGGUAUGGGUGAGAAGAAGAAUAGGUCAGGGAGGCGGGGACGAGCUGGGCUGGUUUUGGGAUGCAGUGGGAGGACAGGAGAUUUGGAAGCUUGUGAAAUCCACACUGAUACCAUUGGGCUGCAGGGUUCCCAAGCAGAAUAUGAGUUGCUGUUCCUGCAACCUUGGGGUGGCGUCAUUAUGGCACUGCAGGAGGCCCAGGUUGGACGUGUCCUCUCAGGAACGGGAGGGGGAGUUGAAAUGGUUCGUGACUGGAAGGUGCAGUUGUUUAUUGCAAACUGAGCGUAGGUGUUCUGAAAAGCGGCCCCCAAGCCUCUGCAUCGUUUCCCCAAUGUAGAGGAAGCCACAACGGGGACAGCGGAUGUUUUGGAUAUUUCUUGAGCAUUGAUUUUCAUUCAGAGUUGGUUGGAUUUUGCUGAAGCAAUAGACAUAACUCACGAUGACGUAGACAAUGUCAGAGUUAAUGUUUCGCGUCCUGUGACCCUUCCUCAGAACUCACUCUUCACUGAUGCUGCCAGACCUGCUGAGCUUUUCGAGCAACUUCUGCUUUUGUUGCUGAUUUACAGUGCCCACAGUUCUGUUGUUUUUUACGACACAGACAAAACUUGAUCUCUGCAGGAAGCAUGAUGCUGCAUUCUCCAACUUCCCUGGCCUUUUGUAAUAUAAUAUUGUCUUUUUAGGACAGAAGUGGCUUUUUUUUGUUUGUUUUAACUUCUGCACAUACUUUCUAUGCAGGUUAAAAGUCUACACCUUUUCAGUUCACUGCAGUGCUGCAUAAUGAAGACUUGGAACAGUUUUUUUAUAUAAAGUAGAAAAUCAAUGUGGUUUGUUUUCCAAAAUGUGAUGUCAGCUUUCCUGGAGCAAGUCUGUUUUCCCUCGGAUGAGACGACUUUCAGACAUACUCCCUUUAUUAUGAGAUAUAAUUGGGGUAAAAUGAGGAGGAUUUUUAUUCACUGAGACACACAUGACUAUAUGUUUGAAGCAUUGGAAAAUGCAUUCUGUUCGGACUGUCAUGUUAUCUGGUGUUUGUCCCAGGCUUUCCGAUUAAAUGCAAGUGAUGAAGGAUGCUAAUGAUGCCACAUGUUAUUACAAGAAGAAAUGAACAUCCAAGUAAGGAUUUUAUGCCACAUUUAUACAUAGCAUGGACCACGCAGCAUGGAUGCCGUGACGGAGUGAAAUGGGAUGCCGUGACGGAGUGAAAUGGGAUGCCGUGACGGAGUGAAAUGGGAUGCCGUGACGGAGUGAAAUGGGAUGCCGUGACGGAGUGAAAUGGGAUGCCGUGACGGAGUGAAAUGGGAUGCCGUGACCGAGUGAAAUGGGAUGCCGUGACCGAGUGAAAUGGGAUGCCGUGACCGAGUGAAAUGGGAUGCCGUGACCGAGUGAAAUGGGAUGCCGUGACCGAGGGAACUGGGAUGCCGUGACCGAGGGAACUGGGAUGCCGUGACCGAGGGAACUGGGAUGCCGUGACCGAGGGAACUGGGAUACAGUGCCUCAGUGAGAUGCUCACAGCGAAUUGUCCCCUCCGUCCUGACCCGCUCACACUGACUAGCCCCUGCAGUCCUGACCCGCUCACAGCGACUUCUCUCUGCAGUCCUGAUCCGCUCACAGCGACACGCCCCUUCAGCCCUGUCCCAAUCACAGGGACUUGCCCUCUCUGUCCUUACCCACUCACAGCGACUUGCCCCCUCAGUCCUCACCCACUCACAGCGACUUGCCACCUCAGUCUUGACCCGCUCACAGCGACCUCCCCCCUCUGUCCUGACCCCCUCAGAGCGACCUACCCCUCCGUGCUGACCCGCUCACAGUGAGGUGCCCCUGCAGUCCUGACCCCCCUCACAGUGACCUGCCCCCUCACUCCUGACCUGCUCUGCGUUGAGGAAACCAAGCGGAGGCUUGGGGACCACUUUGCAGAACACCUCCGCUCGGUUCGCAACAAACAACUGCACCUCCCAGUCGCGAACCAUUUUAACUCCCCCUCCCAUUCCUUAGACGACAUGUCCAUCAUGGGUCUCCUGCAGUGCCACAAUAAUGCCACCCGAAGGUUGCAAGGACAGCAACUCCUCAUCCGCUUGGGAACCCUGCAACCCAAUGGUUUCAAUGUGGACUUCACAAGCUUCAAAAUCACCCCCUCCCCAACUGCAUCCCAAAACCAGCCCAGUUCUUCCCCUCCCGCAACUGCAUCACAAAACCAGCCCAGCCUGUCUCCGCCUCCCUGACCUGUUGUUCCUCUCACCCAUCCCUUCCUCCCACCUCAAGCCACACCUCCAUUUCCUACCUACCACCUCAUCCUGCCUCCUUGACUUGUCCGUCUUCCCUGGACUGACCUAUCCCCUCCCUACCUCCUCACCUGUACUCUCCUCUCUACCUAUCUUGUUUUCUCUCCAUCUUCGGUCCGCAUCCCCCCCUCUCCCUAUUUAUUCCACUUCCCUCUCCCAUCCCCCUCUCUGAUGAAGGGUCUAGGCCUGAAAUGUCAGCUUUUGUGCUCCUGAGAUGCUGCUUGGCCUGCUGUGUUCAUCCAGCUCCACACUUUGUUAUUUUGGAUUCUCCAGCAUCUGCCAUUAUCAGUGGCCUUUCCUCUUUGUCAAAGUUUGUGCAAAAGCAACACGAUGUGGGGCGGCACGGUGGCUCAGUGGUAAGCACUGCAGCUUCACAGCACUGGGGACUCGGGUUCAAUUCCAGCCUCAGGCAACUGUUUGUGUGGAAUUUGCACCUUGUCCCUGUGUCUGCGUGGGUUUCCUCCAGGUGCUCCGGUCUCCUCCCACAGUCCAAAGAGGUGCACACUAGGUGGAUUGGCCAUGCUAAAUUGCCCAUAGUGUUCAGGGGCGUGGGUCUGGGUGGGAUGCUCCAAGGUUUGGUGUGCAGUUGUUGGGCCAAAGGGCCUGUUUCCACACUGUAGGGAAUCUAAACAAUCCUGUUCCCACAUCUCCAUGUUAUAACCCUGCUGAUCACUGCACACACAGAUGUUUGAUAACAAAAGGAUAACAAUAAUAUUCAAACCCAGUGCUGGAGAUGUAUUUUAAAUACACUGAGGCCAGUGUCGAUCUCCAAUUCAACUUUUAUUUACAAAUGAACUGUCUUCAACUUUAGCACUGCCUCAUUCAGAGAUAGUUGCCAGGGUGUCAGCAUCUCUGACCCUCACACGACUUAUCUGUCAGCCAGGGCUCCCUGAUUUGGGCUGUUAAUAUGGACCAGUCAGGCAACUCAUAUUCUGUGAGGUUCAACUGGCCGACCUGGUCACAAACAAGUGCGGUGUGUUCAUCGAAAAUCAAACGUACUAGAAAGGUACCAUUACAUACCAGUGCAAAGGAAGGCAUGAGGCUAAACUGGGGAGGGAAGGGAACUGCUUAUUGGGGGUGGCCCAGAGAGUGGAAGAAAAUCGAAUGGGAAGACGACCAUUUGAGACUGAGGGAGAGAGAUGUAAUUGCCUGAAUGAGACAUUCCAAUUGCAAAAUGGAUUUUUGUUGUACACCAUGUUCAGUUUCCCCGAUCUUAAUCUGUACUCCUCUUUCAAUCAUUAGUAUCUGAAAUUUCUGUAUCAUUUCCAAAUGUUCUGUCUCUAAUGUUGUGCUGUUGGAAUUGGUUGAACUGCAGAGAUAUUAUUUAUUUGCACAAAUGUGUUCAGUGAAAUGAGUUGCAUGCUAUAUAUGUAUUAUUCUUCCUGAUUCUAUUGUACACAAACAAAUUAAAGUUAGUUCCACUUU